rnacentral:lncRNA from 1 species
CCCAGGAGGGCGACACCUCGCUGCUGGGCGCGGCUAGCUGUGCAGCGCGCUCCAGUGCGGUGACCAGGGACAUGUAGACGCCUCCGUUUCGCCGCUGGGAGCCCUUCUGACUCAAGCCAUCUGAAGGCCAGGCCGAAGGUGAUGGAGGCCUAGUGGACCUUGAGGACGCCGAGGUCACCUUGGGGAGGGGCGCCAGCUGGGUCCUCUCCCUCUCCCCCGAGCCCUGCAGUGGGGGCAGGCCGGGCGGGGGAAGGCUCACGACUGUCCCAGGCGUUCCAGGGUGCGAACGCGCAGGAUCUGGGAAAAGAUCGCCUCUCUGCCAGGCUCACUGUCGUCCUUUCCCAGGGCUGGGGGUGUUGGGCACAGAGUCAGGUCAGGUCAGGGCCGGGCCACCGCCCAACAAUGGCGGUCGCCCCUAGGGCUCUAAGCUUUGAGGUUCUUCUUCCUGAUUAGAAGAAAGAGCCCACCAAAGGACCGUCCCCGGCCCAGGAGCCCAAUAGGGGACUGACAAUUGUGACCUCGCACAUUUCCCUUAGGGGCUAUGGAAGUCCUUAGAACAUACCACUGCUGCUGCAGACUCCUCGGCCUCUCCUGUAGCCUGCACUGAGUAAGCUCAUCUCUGAACUACCCAGUGUGCUCCCUCACUUUCAUACUUAGAGCGGUGGGGGUCUUCAAGGGUCUUUCAUUGAUGACGUGACUAGGAUUGGGAUCCCCUCACCUUCACUAGGUGAGGACCCCAAUCCAGACUCACCCUCCACUCACCCCAGGUUAUCCCCAGUCCAUUUCCUUGGUCACCGGACCCAUAGCCAACAUCGGUCAUCUGUUGGUAAGUUUUCCCCUUCUCGGUUGCUCACCAGCAGGUGUACAGUUUCGCAGGUGUACCCUCAGAAAAACGGUCAGGGAAACUGACCGUUGAUCAUCUGUUGGCUCCUCUGACCACCUGUGGGAGGAGAAUUCACUCUGCCUAGGCCUUUAUGGUCACAGCGACCCUGGAGCAAUCCUCCGGAUUCUACUAGUACGGGUUAGGAUCUCCCCUUACCCCUGGGCCCAGGUCUGACUUUCCCAUAAACCCCGAUAUUGGGUGACCUGCAGUCCCUCGGCUCCUUGGAGUCCAAUCGGUAUUCUGAUCUGGUGACGACUAUAUCAAAAACUGAUUUCUCUCUCCAGGCAAUUGUUUGUUAAGGGACGCCUUGUCUGAAUCAUCUGCCUGUCAUGGGGAAUUCCAGCUCCCUGCCAGUCGACUCCCCCAGUUAGGUGUCUAUUGAAUAAUAGGUCCACUCUUAGCCUAUCCCCCAACAUUAAACCUAAGUGCCUUAUCAAAUAUUGCAAACAAGAUUACCCAAAGUACCAACUAGAUAACCAAAAUAAAUGGCCCCAUCAGGGUCGCUGGAUCCCGAUAUUUUAUGGGACCUCUUUGAUCACUGUGAGCACAUAAGGAAAUGGACAGAGAUCCCCUAUGUGGAAGCUUUCACUCUUCUCUGUCAAAACCCUAACCUGUGUACCCCCUGCAAACCACACCACCUUCUUCUCACCAUUAAGCCAUGCAAGGAUCUCUCCUCCUAUCCUUCCAACUUUGACCCUGCAGACGAGCUACCUCCUUACCGGCAGGCCCCCCAACCCCUGCCUCUGCCUUGCUUCCCAACCAUGCCCAAUCCUCCUACCCCACAGCCCUCAGCUCCCCUGGCAUCACCCCCAGAGCUUCCCAGCCCCCUUUUAGUCCCCCUACAACCCGUUCUAAAAUUCACCUUUCUUCGUGUACUGUCGCCCCCCCCCCCCAGAAGUGGCGGGUGCUGAAGGCAUUGUGAGGGCUCAUGUUCCCUUCUCUAUAGAAGAUCUCUCCCAAAUUGAGAAGUGCCUGGGUUCAUACACUUCCAACCCCUCCUCAUACAUUGAGGAAUUUGAAUACCUUCUUCAGGCUUUAACCUCACUUUUCACAUUUCCACCAUCCUGGCCAAUACUCUUCUCCCAGAGGAACACAGACGGGUCUGGGAGGAAGCCCGUAAUUAAGCUGAUGAGGUUCAUCAAACCACCCCGGCUCACCCGCUAGGCGCUCAGGCAGUCCCUGACCAGGACCCUAAUUGGGACUACAAUACUGCCGCAGGAUUAGCCCUGAGGGACCAAUUUUCCACCUGCCUAGUUGCCAGACUCAGACGGGCAACUCAGAAGGUAGUUAACUUCGAAAAACUCCAAGAGAUCAUUCAAGACAAAAAUGAGAACCCCUCCACUUUCUUAGGUAGGUUAGUUUAACCCCCAAAACCCCUGAUGGGAGACAGCUCCUAACGACCCAUUUCUUCCCCCAAAGCUAUCCCGACAUAAAGUCCAAACUAAAGAGGUUGGAAAGGGGGCCUCUCACCCCUGGCCUUCAAGGUCUGCCAUAAUAGGGAGGAAAAGGCCAAACCCCCCAAAUCCCAGAUGCUGACUCAGGCCAUUCGGGCGUCUGCCCCCCCACUUCAUCCUCUAAAGGACCUCCAUGCAGCCCACCAGGGCCAUGCUUCCAAUGUGGAAGGGAUGGCCACUGGGCCAGGGCUUGCCCUAACCCAAGGGUUCCUACCAAACCCUGCCCAAAGUUCCAGUGUCUUGGUCAAUGGGCCGUGGACAUGCCCACAGCCCUGGGCAUGACCUUCUGGGACUGGCGGUGGAGGACUGAUGGGCUCUAGGUUUCCUUCCCCGAUGGCCAUCACCACACAGGAGCCCAGGGUCAAACUUACCAUAGAUGGAUGCCCCAUUUCAUUCCUCUUAGACACUGGAGCCUCAUUCUCUGUUCUGAGGGAGUUUGGGUGGCCCCACCUCUGUUGUUGGUAGGGGGCCAAACCCUCAUGCCUAGGAUCUCUGCCCUAAUCUCCUGCUCAUUCCUCAGGGUCAUAUUCUCCCACCAAUUCUUGAUUAUGGCCCAAUGCCCAGUUCCCCUGCUAGGGCGAGACAUCCUCUCCAAAUUUGAGACAUCCAUCACCUUCAAUCUCGACAAGUCAGUCUCCUACAUUCUCUCACUACUCAUGUCGCCUCCAACAGAGGAGGAACUCCUCUCCUUCCCUUUCCCCCAGACAAAGUCAACCCCAAGGUAUGGACACCACAACCCCAUCACUUGCACACUGCUCCCCCGUUGUUAUUACUUUAAAACAUCCAGAUGCCUAUCCAUGUCAACCCCAAUACCCGCUUCCCUCUGCCAGCCUGAUAGGCCUACAGCCCAUCAUUCAAGAUCUCUUAACCAAGGGUUUCCUCAGACCCGCCCACUCGCCUUUCAACACUCCCAUCCUGGCAGUUAAAAAACCUAAUGGCACCUUUCGUUUAGUUCAAGAUCUCUGGCUGAUCAAUGAAGCUGUCAAACCCAUACACUCCUUGGUUCCAAACCCAUAUACCAUCUUGUCCUCUACACCACCUUCCUCAACUCACUUCUCAGUGAUAGAUCUCAACUCACUUCUCUAUUCCCUUGGCCCCACAUCCCAGGACCUCUUUGCUUUCAUCUGGACAGAUCCUGAGACACACCGGGCUCGCAAACUGACCUGGACAGACUUAACCCAGAGCUUCUGGGACAGCCCCUGUAUAUUUUGGCCACUGAUCUAGAUGACCUGUCCCUCUCACAAUCCCGAUUACUGCAAUAUGUAGAUGACCUACUCCUCUGCAGUCCCUCCCUGGAAUAAUCACAGAAUGACACCUCACUUCUCAAUUUCCUAGCUGAAAGGGGC